rnacentral:piRNA from 1 species
UGUCAAUCUGUCAUUUUAAGACUUCUCAAA